AACCAUACAUCAAUCCAACAAUUCUUAUCUACUAACCAACAAUUCCUCCAUUGUUUCCUUGAGAUUUUUACUGAAAAUAUGGUGUUCUCGUUCAACAUUGCAACCAACAAUGCAAAUGAUUAAAACUCUUCUUAUUUUGAUGGUUGGAAGGCAUAUGAUAAUGAUACCUUUCAUCCCACAAAAAUACUUCUGUGGAGUCAUUCAAAUGGGAUUCACUGAAACUCAGGUGCGAACAUAUCUGGUACAUAGUAUUGGACAAUAUCAUUUGAUCCUGUCCAGUACUGUACAAACAAACCAAAAUUAACAUCUUUUGUGAUUUAUGCAGCUUUGCUGUGAUUUAAUCCAAGAAUUGGUUGAGAACAACCCAAAAGCUACCAUUUGUAUACCUCAAAGAUCAAAUGGAUUCAAGGAUACAGCAAAAGAGUCGCAUUUAUGGCAGAGGAAGAGUGGAUUCAAAUAACGAAAGUCGCCGUGUAUUCCACUGUUUUCAGUGCACACGAUUCCGACUGUUUCUAGGCCGGCCAUUGGCACGCUGCACUCGGUUCGGGACUCUUGGUAAGAGUCACUUUGCGGAUGGUGUCCUCGUGUCUCCACUAAUAGUGAGCUAGUAGUGUCCAUUGCUAUCUGUUACGCCCUCGGCUAAGUCAUGUUUCUAGUUAUUAGGUUACUGCAUUAAAACUUCAAAGUCGCAACUAUACGUUGGAUGUUUGUUUAUUUAAUGCCACUGGUGCUAAAUAAAAUUAGCUGUGAUGUUGUGGCUAAAUUUGGUCUCAAACUUGAAUUGGCAUGGAUCGCAAUUCAUAUCGCCUUCGACAUCAAAUACUUCUGGUACAUGGCAAUAAGCUACUGUGGCAAAGGCUGAGACGCAGAAAGCAAGAGCAACAUCCUUGAAGCCAUUUGAUCCUUGAGGUGUACAAAUGGAUGCUUUUUGGGUUGUUCUCAACCCAUUCUUGGAUUAAAUCAAAGCAAAGCUGCAUAAAAUCAGAAGAGAGAUUAAUUUAGAUCUGACUAUACAGUAGUGGACGGGAUUAAAUAGUAUUGUUAAAUACUAUGUACCAGACAUGUUCAUACCUGAUUUUCUGCGAGUCCCAUUUGAAUGACUCCGGGAUUAUUUUUUGUGGAAUGAAAGAGAUCACUGUCAUAUGCCUUCCAACCAUCAAAAUAAGAAGAGUUUUCACUGUGUCCAUUGUUGGUUGCAAUCUUGGACAAGAACACCAUAUUUUCUGUCAAAAAUUUCAAGGGAACAAAUGAACAAUGAGCAAUCGAGGAAUUGUUGAAAUGUCUGAAGAGGUUUUUGAGAACAACAUUGUUCAAGUGUUUGAUGGGUAUUUAUAGUUGUAGUUGCUAUCGUGGAAAGUUCUUUGAAGGACACCUAACCUCAUCCACACCCCAAAACCUAAAUUGGAAUUAUGUUUGAAACAUUGUAAAUAGGGGUGUAUUUGUACUUAAUUUUAACUUAUAACAAAUUCAUGGUCAACAAUUCGAGGCAUUUAUGAAGAGGUUAGAAGCGGUGCUAAGCAAUAAGGCGAGGGACGUGAAGUUGGUAAUGGCGCAAAUUCAAUUCUUUCAGACAAAUGUGAGGAGGCAUUGUGGAGCUUGUUAGGGAGGACCCCGAAUGAUUUCAGGCUCUAUUUUUGUAAAGGGAUAAUUUGUAGUUCGUUGGAUAGGAAUGAAGAGGCCAGAGAGCAGUUCUCAAAGUUUUGUAAUCUUUCACCCAGGAAAUUUGAAGUAGAAGGGUAUUUGAGAACGCCAUUGUCAAGGAUGAGGCUUUUCAGAAUUCAAUGUGAUUUCAGGUGUCUUUUAUUUUAUUUUUUUUAAUUAUGAAAACAAGAAUCUGUUUCUUGCCUUAUACAAGUUAAAUAAUGCGAUAUAACUCACAGUUCAGGUCUAUCUAGAUAGAUUUUAGCAUCUCAAACUGGGGGGUUGAGAUUUUCCUAGUACUAAUGUCAGUCAUGACUUUCACCCUUGGAAAUGCUGUUAUAUUUAUAUAAAUGGA
rnacentral:lncRNA from 1 species